GGUUGAUGAAAAGCCCAGAACUUUGAUGACAGAGAGUCUGGUUAUAAAGAAUUUUUUACGAAAAAUAGUCAUGGUGCACCCUAAGAUUAGAUUUAAUUUCAAUGUAAAGGUGAAUGGAAUCCUCUCUGCGGAAAUCUUUGAGGCAGUGAAUGAACCCACUUUGAACCUGUCGAAUGGAGUUGCACUUGUCGUAAACUCUCAGCGUUAUGUGAGGUGAAGGGGUAAAAGCACUGUUGUCUCUCUCCAUGUUUUACUCUCCUAUUAUGAGUAUGAAUGUGGGUAGAAAUUGAAAAUGGUCUCACCUGUCAUUUCUUAGUGCCAGAUGUCAGAUUCUCUGUAAGAAAAGUGAAAGUAAAACUUUUAAGCUGUUUGUAUUGAAAACUAUUAUUAUUCCUGGCUCCUUGAAUAUAUUCUGAUUGACUUGGGGUGUGUUACUUGUCCUCUCCAUACUUUAUUUCCUUCUGAUGAAACAAAACAUACCCUGAUAAUUCCAAUCUCAUUUAGACAUGAAAAGAGAGGACUGAGUUUAAAAGGUUACUCAAACUCUUGGCUAGAGAGAUACUAUGAAUACAAAGGAAUUCUUUGUGUAUUAUUGUUUAUGCUUCACCAUUUUGCAUCAG